rnacentral:rRNA from 1 species
UACGUAGGUGGCGAGCGUUGUCCGGAAUAACUGGGCGUAAAGGGAGCGUAGGUUGCGAUUUAAGUUAGAUGUGAAAGCCCGUGGCUCAACUACGGAACUGCAUUUAAAACUGGAUUGCUAGAGUACAGGAGGGGUAAGCGGAAUUUCUAGUGUAGCGGUGAAAUGCGUAGAUAUUAGGAAGAACACCAGAGGCGAAGGCGGCUUACUGGACUGCAACUGACACUGAGGCUCGAAAGCGUGGGGAGCAAACA